UAAACAGAGGCUUACUUAACUACGGGGAUGGGAUCUGACUGGUAUAACUACCGAUUCUGUCUAUUAGCAUCGCACGCGCAUGCGCGAGUCACAUGAGUGCAAUUUACAACCUGCUGAGCUGCCCGGACAGCAUGCAAGUGCGCAGCAGUUGGAAAAUCCCUUUUUCCCUUCUUUUUCAAC